GACGAACGCUGGCGGCGUGCUUAACACAUGCAAGUCGAACGGAAAGGCCCUGCUUUUGUGGGGUGCUCGAGUGGCGAACGGGUGAGUAACACGUGAGUAACCUGCCCUUGACUUUGGGAUAACUUCAGGAAACUUGGGCUAAUACCGGAUAGGAGCUCCUGCUGCAUGGUGGGGGUUGGAAAGUUUCGGCGGUUGGGGAUGGACUCGCGGCUUAUCAGCUUGUUGGUGGGGUAGUGGCUUACCAAGGCUUUGACGGGUAGCCGGCCUGAGAGGGUGACCGGCCACAUUGGGACUGAGAUACGGCCCAGACUCCUACGGGAGGCAGCAGUGGGGAAUAUUGCACAACGGGCGGAAGCCUGAUGCAGCAACGCCGCGUGCGGGAUGACGGCCUUCGGGUUGUAAACCGCUUUCGCCUGUGACGAAGCGUGAGUGACGGUAAUGGGUAAAGAAGCACCGGCUAACUACGUG
rnacentral:rRNA from 1 species